rnacentral:tRNA from 2 species
CGCGAUGGGCCAAAAAAAAUCCCCAAAAACA